GACGAACGCUGGCGGCGUGCUUAACACAUGCAAGUCGAACGAAGUGGCGAACGGGUGAGUAACGCGUAAUCAACCUGCCCUUCAGAGGGGGACAACAGUUGGAAACGACUGCUAAUACCGCAUACUGAUGGAGGGGACUGCGUCUGAUUAGCUGGUUGGAGGGGUAACGGCUCACCAAGUCGAUGAUCAGUAGCCGGUCUGGUGGGAUGACCGACCACCGUUGGACUGAAGCACGGCCCAGACUCCUACGGGGGGCAUCAGUUGGGAAACUUCCGCAAUGGACGGAAGUCUGACGAAGCAACGCCGCGUGAGUUAUGACGGCCUUCGGGUUGUAAAGCUCUGUUAAUCGGGACGCGGUACCGGAAUAGAAAGCCACGGCUAACUACGUGCCAGCAGCCGCGGUAAUAC
rnacentral:rRNA from 1 species